rnacentral:tRNA from 1 species
GCGAAAGUAGCUCAGCUGGUAGAGCAUCACCUUGCCAAGGUGGAGGUCGCGGGUUCAAAUCCCGUCUUUCGCU